CAGGCCUGUUCACAGUAGGACUCAGUUGACGAGAGACGGUUACUCUGCAGUACGUUCAACUGUAAGGUGCAGUAGCAGUCCUGUAUGACGCGUACCAGUGAGGCGAAGGAAUACUGAGAGAGGUCACAUCGAAGUACGAUCGCUAAGGUGCAUUAAAGAUUAGCCAGUGGAGCAGCCCGUAUAGCGAGCUGCUGGCUACAGUGGAUUCACGGCCGUGUAGCUCGACUGGAUAUGACACACGGAGACAUAGCCGGGCUGAAGAGCAUUCGGGAUCACCUGAGCAGCAGGUUCAUGCAUGUAAACAGUUCGUACUGUGAAGCAUCCUGUAUAGCCAGGCAUCGAGUGAGAGACACGUCUACAGGUGCUAGCGCGUUCUCCGGAAUGAUGAGGACGAGCGUUGGGGGCGCGUCUGCUAAAGAGGUGGAUGGUGGGCAAAAACGGUCGGUCUGCGGCGCCGGAACUAUCCGGUAGGCAACCGGGCAACAAUCGUCAGGUCAAUGGGAAUAUCCCACAGAAAAGUGGGGUCAAUCUCCUAAACAGGGCACAUUAUCCGAGUGUGGGUGACCAGUCCCCCACGGGUAGAACCCUCUCGACUAACAUCGUUUCAAAAUACCCCGGUG
rnacentral:rRNA from 1 species